UACAGAGGGUGCUAGCGUUGUUCGGAAUCAUUGGGCGUAAAGGGUGCGUAGGCGGCGGGGUAAGUCAGGUGUGAAAUCUCGGGGCUCAACCCCGAAACUGCACUUGAUACUGCCUCGCUUGAGUACUGGAGAGGAGACUGGAAUUUACGGUGUAGCAGUGAAAUGCGUAGAUAUCGUAAGGAAGACCAGUGGCGAAGGCGAGUCUCUGGACAGUUACUGACGCUGAGGCACGAAGGCCAGGGGAGCAAACGGG
rnacentral:rRNA from 1 species